rnacentral:rRNA from 1 species
UACGAGGGGGGCGAGCGUUGUUCGGAAUUAUUGGGCGUAAAGGGUGCGUAGGCGGUUUGGUAAGUCUUAUGUGAAAUCUAUGGGCUCAACUCAUAGACUGCAUGAGAAACUGCCGGGCUUGAGUAUGGGAGAGGUAAGCGGAAUUCCUGGUGUAGCGGUGAAAUGCGUAGAUAUCAGGAGGAACACCUGCGGUGUAGACAGCUUACUGGACCAUUUCUGACGCUGAGACACGAAAGCGUGGGUAGCAAACAGG